rnacentral:lncRNA from 1 species
AAGACUAUGUAGUUUAGUUUGGGAAAACAGGGAAAUGCUAUGCAAUGUGUUUGUUUUUCUAGAAGUGUUUUAAUGUUCUCCUGCAAAAUGGAUGUCAGUCAUUUUGAUGAAAGGAUAGCAUGGCAGGUCUUGAUAUGAAGAAGGAAUACAUAUUUACAUACGCCUUUAUAUUUUCCAUUACAUUGCGAUUGACAUGGAAAUGAAAUUACAAGUAAUUGAAAUUACAGGUAAUUAAAAGGGGAGAGCAUUAAGAGACGCAUUAGGUUUAUCAGAGGCUGACCUAUCUUAGGCUACUUUCACAGCUUUUCGACAUGAAGGUCCCCAGAUCAUCGUAAUUUACUAGAUGGGAAGUUAAUCUGAUCUUUCAACUAGAGCGAAUCUGGGUGGUGCCUUUCCCGAGCCUCGUAGAAUUAGUCUCCCUUGAGUCUAGUAAUCAACCACCGACGGGUUAGCCUCCUGAUGGAGGAAUCACACAACAUACAUUCACAUACAUCGCGUCUCACCAUAUAGAAAUGAUGACAUGUGCGAAGCACGAAAGUACACAUCCAUUCAAUGUAAUUGCAGUAUUCACACAGAAGCAGAUAAAAGUUUUUGAAAAUCUUGAAUAGCUGCUUAAGCCCUCU